CCUCAGUCUAACUCAAUACUUACCGCAGGUACAGUCAUUUAAACUACACUUGGGAAGAAUUUAUACAAAACUUCGGCAUCCAUGAAAGCCAUUAGCACAAUGGAAUAUCAUCCUAUCAGCAGAGAGGAAAAACGAUUUCCCAACAAUUUAUGUUCUUAGAAGCAUUCCUGGAAACCUCAAGUAAUCCCAAAAUCAAAGACUGAGGAUGAUUUGUGAUUCUGAACACCAGGUUUAAAAGAACAUCAUUCUGUAAGCAAUGAGGGAAAGGAAUUUCCCAACAUUUAUGCUUUUAAAAGAUUCUUGGAAAUCUAGAAGAUGAGGACAUCCUUCAAGACAAUAAGGAAUUGAAUUUGCAAUCCUGAUGGUGUUGUAGAAGAUAUUUUACACACAUUAAAUAGACAUGCCUUGGAAAUAA